CGUGAGAGAAUCACCAAGUCACCUGCUCCUCAGAUCAGAAGGUGAUUGUGGCUUUGAGUAGAUAUUAAGCAGCCACAGCACUGCCUGGUCAGAAAGAGCAAGUGUACUAGCCUUUUUACCUCA
rnacentral:pre_miRNA from 15 species